rnacentral:tRNA from 1 species
UAAGAUAAGGUAGGAUUUGAACCUACGGUAUAAUAAUACUUUAGUUUUCAAAACUAACGUUUUAAACCACUCAACCACUUAUCC